rnacentral:misc_RNA from 1 species
UAUAGAAAACUCCAUCUCACUCUAUCAUAAACUCUUCCAAGAUUCACUUUAAUUGCCAUAAAACCCUUCCUACCCACCUUAGUUCUCAUAGAAUGGAUCACUUCCUGAGCAAUCACAAAGCUAACUUGCAUGGGACCUAUAAUUCUAGGCAAUAACUUCUUCAAUCUAUUAACCACCACCUUCAUAAUCACCUUAUAUAACACUGCAUAA